rnacentral:sRNA from 1 species
UCAAAAAAACAACAAUAAAAAGGACCCUGGGUACUGCGUGGUUUUUAGUCACUUUGUAAAAUGGGCAGAUUUUACGUCAUUGCCUUGAUGGGUAUUAGAGAACUGAUUAAGUACGAGUUGGUGUCCAUUGUUCUGUUCUGGGCUCCCUUCCCCACCCACUCGGGGCCAUGCACGCUCCCUACAGAAUUAGGUCUCUGUGCACUCACAGCCAGCUUCUGUGUUCCCACUCAGUCUCACAGCUCGUGUCCCGUUUUGCAGAUGAUUCUGCUCCUUCGCCACAACUGAGCUGCUCAGGAAUGGACACUUGAUCCACAUUAGAUCAGUACCAAUCCUGUCCCUGGGACUCUGGUUAGUUUGUACUGAGACACACUAGGCUCUGUUGUUUGGUGUCUUAAAUGGAGAAGAUACAAAUCUGAGAGCUGUGGUUAGCUCCCCCCACCUUGAUGGUGAUGUGCGACAGCCAUUCCCAGCGGGGGAAGGGAGGGGGACGCUGCCUUUGGAAUUGGCAACAUCCCACUGAGAGGUGGAGUCCCAGGGUCCAUUCCUACUUGUAUGUACGUACCCUUAGGUAGGCUCUAGCUGCUAACAUUCUUUUUCCUCCUGAAGGUGGCUUCAGUCAGCCUUGGAGCUGCAGAAUGAUAACACCAGUAGACUCCCUGAGCAUAGCACCUAGAGAGAGGAAGCCUCAGGACGGUCAUGGCUAAUGUCAUUGUCAUCUUGUUUUAGAGAUACAGAAUCUGAGACAGAGGUUAAGUCAUUCAUUCAACUUCUGUCACAUAGCUCCUAGAUGGUGAACCUGGUCUAGAAUCCAGGCCUCUGACACCUGGACCUAGGUUCUGUUCCGCCUCCUCUAAACUUCGGAAUAGAGGAGAAGGAGGCAGGUGCCAUCCAGCUGCGAUUAUUCAGAGAGACCUGUCUGCAAUCUGCAGAAAUUUCCUGAGCCCUUCCCUGACACGAGUUUCCCUCUUGCUGCCAGGGACAACCGAUAUCCUGGGUUUUUUUUUUUUUUUUUUUUUUUGUUAGAAUCAUUUUAAUAGUUUUUCCACCUACCCAUAUAACCUUAAGCCACAUGAUUCUGUUUCCUUUGUUUUGGAAGUUCACAUGAGUGAAACCACCCCUUAUGUAUUCUUUUGAGACUUGGUUCUUUCAACACUAUGUGAGGUCCCCCUGGGCUCUUCCUAAUAGUGACAGUUCGUUUAGUUUUCUUUGCUGGACAGUCCACAAGGUAUUUAUGCAAUCUAUGUUCAAUGGACAUUGGAUUGUUUCCAGUUUUUAAACCAGCAACGGUACUGUGAGCAUUCUUGUUUGUAUAGUCCGAUUGGCUGACGUGUGCCUAAAGGCGGGUCUACAAUUGUCAAGAUGUCCUUUGUUCCAUGCCCUGGUUGGUAUGGGCAUUGCAUCAUGCAGAUAUCAAUACCCGUGGCCACAUGGGAAAGAAUGCACUAUGCAUGUUGUGGGAUACACAGAAACCUAAAACACGGGAUCCUUCCUGAAAACAAUAACUGAAGAGAUCGUGCAACCCAGGAAUUUCCCCUCCUCCGUACAUGCUGUAUGCCCACAUGUGUGGGUGCCUGACGAGGCUGGUAGAGAGUGUUGGGUCUCCUGGUGCUGCAGUUACAAUAAGCCUUCUCAACUGCUGAACCAUCUCGCCUCUCCAAGUUCCAGCAUCCUUUCCUUUCAUGCGUCAAGACUGGGAUACAGCUCAGUAACGACAUGCUUACCCAAGAUGCUCAGGACCCAGCACCUCACUAAAAUAAAAAUGAAGUCACCCAUUCAAAGCAGGCAUAUGAAUACCUAAGAUAGGACAGCCCAGUGUGUUGUUGGGCUAACAGCGGUCACUGAGUCAGACAUGGCCCCAGAACUGAUCCUGGAAAUAACAACUGGAUCACUCAAAGGGCAGUUUAGUGAAGGUACCAAGUACAGAGUGUAGAGAAAAUUUGUCUCAAGGCAUAAGGAAGCAGUUCAGGGUUGGUGGCAGCCACCAGACCUGAAAAGGGGCAAGGUGUGAUCUUCAGAAAGAACUGUGGGAGAGAGCUUCCAAGAGGGAUUUCCACAUCGAGCAAGCUCUCUACUGCACCCUGUCCUCUGCUCUGCCUGUUUUCUGUGUGCCUCCCAUUACAACACCAGUGAGACAGGAGCUUGGGCAAUGGGGUCCGUCAGUGCAAACCGCGCAUGCUUGAGUCUGGUUGCUGCAGAGGCGAUUGGCAGUGUCUCCAUUCAUCCACUCCCCAAGGCACACAGUGGAGGAGAGAAGGCUGCCAAGCCCCUGUGAAGAAGAAAGAGACCAUGUAGCGUCCCAACCCCUCGUGACUUCACACUGAGUUCACUGAAGACAGAACAUGAUCCUAAAAGAGGCCGACUUUAAUAAAAGGAAGUUGGUGCAUGGGGUGCAAGCACUUUGGAUAUGGAGUCUAGAAAGGUCCUUCCAAUUAAACAGUGCACAGUAAGUUGGAACUCCAAUGAUGAGUCCUGGUGAUGAAGGUGCCAUUCAUGAUCAUGAGGAAGCUGGGAACUGGAGACUAAGCAUCCCUGGGGGGUGUAUUAAUGAGAAGCUUUAUGUAAGCACAGAAGGGCAGCUCCACGCUGAGGGACACCCCAGUGAGGCUCAAGGCCUAGGGCUGAGCUGGAGAAUCUGAUAAUGGGCAGACACCCAAAGUCUGCUCUCGGAAGCCAGGAUGUGUGUGGACUGCGCCCUCCCUGGAGGUUACCCCGAGUGCUGGCGCAGCUCUCUGGCUCCUCUGCCUGAGCACUCACAGGGCUCUUUCCAGCAUUUAUUGGGACAUCUGCCACCUCCCAGGUCCUCCUCUUCCAAAGCCAAGAAGGGUCAGAGGAAGGGAGUGUCCCUGUAUACCAACGUAGCAAAGCAGCUUCUGAAAGCUGAGGGGGCCCCAGGGAGAAAACAUGGCCGUGCCAAUUUUGAAAGGUCCCCAAACGACUUCUAAAAGUACCAAGGCCCAUGAAAGCCGGCGACCAGGAUGUCUGUGGAUUCCAGGAGAGGUGGCCCUGCGUCUGAAGAGGAGGUUCUAGGGAGACAGGCGUUGUCUGGUUUUGUUAAAUUCCAGCAGAAAGUCACUUUGCCAAAAAUGCCAAAAAUAAAAAGGACUGUCUAGACACUCACAUAUUAGAAGCUCUAAGAUGAACCGAGACUUUGACCUUGACGUCAUUGGUUUUCGCUUCCAUGGCAAGAUGAAGGGGUAGGUCAAUUAGCAGACAGACUUGUGUACCUGCUGUGCACCAGGCUGUGUUCUUGGCACCCGGAGGCAUGUGGUGAUGAGACACGCAAGCGCUGGUAACCGUAGGAAGUGGAAAAUACAAAGAUGAAAGUGAUGUAGUAUGGAGUGACCAGGGCCGAGGUAGGGAAGUGAUGAGAAACGUCUCUAAGAAUCCACACUGGGGCAGAGACCCCGCCACCAAGCUCGCUUAUCUGCCUGUUCUCCACCUCACUUUCUGUAGCCAGUUAAAGGUCAACCGUGAAAGAAAUCAAAUGGAACAUUCUAGAAAUAGGCAAUUUAUAAUAUUUACAUUGUGUACUAUUCUGAGAAACAUGAUAAAAUGUCAUGCAAUGCCACUCUGUCCACCCAGCACAUGACCCACGCUUCUGCACAGUGUGUUUAUGCUGUAUGUAUAUGCUCCCUACCUGCUGGUCCCUCGGCAGAUGUUCUGAGGGAGGUCACAGUUCUGCACAGGUCGUUCUGUCUUACUAAUGGUUAUUAUCAGUCUCGUAAAUUAUUCCUUUUAAUCGAUAAGGACAUAUAGGAAAAACACAUGUAGGAUUUGGUGCUAUCUGAUCCUUUAGGCUUCCUCUGUGGGUCUUGUGACAUAUUUCCCAUGGGCGAGCCAAGACCACAGUAUUUAAAAGAUAGAACUCUAUGUAGAACAGGCUGGCCUUGAACUCACAGAGAUGCACCCUCCUUGCCUUCCAAUUGCUGAAUUAAAGGCACGCACCGCCACACCUCACACAUUUAUUUCUUUUGAGACAGGGUCUCAUGUAGCCCAGGCUGGCCUCAAACUCACUAAGUAGCCAAAGAUAACUUCCACUUCUGAUCCUCCUACCUCUACUUCCCAAGUUCUGAAACUGUUAACGAAGGUUUCCAUAACUAGUCACGGCACACUGGGGGUUGAUUAAAGGGCUUUGUGCACACCAAGCAAGCAGUCUACCAACUGAGCUACAUCUGAAGCCUGCAUGAUGUGCCUUCAGUGACCACCCUCAGCUCUCUCAUCCAAGCUGUCUAUUCCUGCUCUCUGAAGGAAGUUGAAAUAAAGACAGGACUCCUCAGUAGGAGCAAGCGCA